UUGUUAAUCAGUUUUGUGUUAGGCUGGUGCUAGUAUAAUCUGAUGAUGGGAACGGUUGGAUGAAUGUGUAGGAUUGGUAGAUUAUUGAUUUUCACUUGAAGGGAACUUGGGAUGCUAUUAGGGGUGAAACUGAAAUUCCUAAGAUGUCAAGUUAGAGGUGCCGGUGGUGAUGUGAUAGAGAUGCAGGUGAAGUUGUUAGUGGCCCAGUUGUGUUCAACUGGAGUUAGAGAUAGAUGUUUUGUGUUAUGCUGAGUGCAGAUGCAAUUGUUUUUGGGAUUGGUGUAUGUCAGAGCUGUGAUUAUAGUUUAGGCUUGUGGAUGUGGUACUUGAAGUUACAGUUCUGAAGAAUAGUGAUGUUAUAAUGAGAUGUAGUUGAAGUUAGUGUGGAUGUUGGGUUUUUGUAUAGUGACUGAUAAGAUAUUGAUAACUGGGGUUAUGAUUCUGUUUGAGUGAAGAUUUUGGGAAUUGGUUGUGAUGAACUGUGGUUUAAGGGUUAGACCGUGAUGAGCUGAGUCGAAUCAAUCUAAAGAAGGGGUUGAUUUCAAUUGGGGGAGAAAGUCUUUUGAGGUGAUGUUGAGUUAAGAAUUGUUAUGGAGGUGAACUGUAAUGAGUGCAGAUGAGAAUUGUGUUAGAGCGGAGUGUAUGGUUGUGGUAAUGGAGUUGAAAUGAACUUGGAGGUAAUGGAACUGAACUGUUGGUGUUGAUCGUGUUAAAGUAAUGAUGCUGCAUUGAACUGUUGGAAUGAGAAGUGUGAUGGUUUGGUACUGCUAAUGAAGGGUAUAUAGUUGUGAGUUGAAUUGGUGGUUUAGAUGACUUGUAUUGAUGAAGAUGAGGUUGGGCUUAGUUUAUUAGUGAUUAUAGAAUUGUAGAUUGUAUUCCUGUGAAAGCUUGGAAGCUUGCAACUACUACAAUUGCAGGUAAUCAAAGUUGUUGUUGUAAAUGAUUUAUGAAGUUUAAGUUAAGCUUAUGUAUUGUUGUGUU